rnacentral:misc_RNA from 1 species
GAUGAAGAACGCAGCGAAAUGAGAUAAGUAAUGUAAAUUGCAGAAUUCAGUGAAUCAUCGAAUCUUUGAACGCACAUUGCGCCCGCCAGUAUUCUGGCGGGCAUGCCUGUUCGAGCGUCAUUUCAACCCUCAGGCCCCCAGUGCCUGGUGUUGGGGAUCGGCCCAGCCUUCCUGUAAGGCCGCCGGCCCCGAAAUCUAGUGGCGGUCUCGCUGUAGUCCUCCUCUGCGUAGUAGCACAACCUCGCAGUUGGAACGCGGCGGUGGCCAUGCCGUUAAACACCCCACUUCUGAAAGUUGACCUCGGAUCAGGUAGGAAUACCCGCUGAACUUAAGCAUAUCAAUAAGCGGAGGA